GAUGAACGCUAGCUACAGGCUUAACACAUGCAAGUCGAGGGGCAGCAUGAACUUAGCUUGCUAAGUUUGAUGGCGACCGGCGCACGGGUGAGUAACGCGUAUCCAACCUGCCCUUUACGCGGGGAUAGCCUUCUGAAAGGAAGUUUAAUACCCGAUGAAUUCGUUUAGUCGCAUGGCUUGAUGAAGAAAGAUUUAUCAGUAAAGGAUGGGGAUGCGUCCCAUUAGCUUGUUGGCGGGGUAACGGCCCACCAAGGCGACGAUGGGUAGGGGUUCUGAGAGGAAGGUCCCCCCACAUUGGAACUGAGACACGGUCCAAACUCCUACGGGAGGCAGCAGUGAGGAAUAUUGGUCAAUGGGCGCGAGCCUGAACCAGCCAAGUAGCGUGAAGGAUGACUGCCCUAUGGGUUGUAAAACUUCUUUUAUAAAGGAUAAAGUCGGGUAUGCAUACCCG
rnacentral:rRNA from 1 species